AUGGCCGGCCUCGUGUCCCGGCCGCGCCGGAGCGUGCAGAUGUACUGGGCGCGGAGGAACUACCAGCGCCUCGGCGGCGGCGGCUCGCCGUCGCGGCGCAGCCUCAGGGUGGCCCGCCUCGGCGGCGCGGCCGGGAGCAGGACGCGGACGACGCCAGCAGGCGCCGUGCAGCGGCGUCUGCGGUGGCUGGCCGGCGUGGCCAGGCUGCGCGCGGCCGCGCUGCUGUCGCCGGUGCGCCUGCUCGCGAGGCUGCGGGACGCGUACGUCGACGCGAUGCUGGCGCUGGCCGGGGGCGCCGGGCGGCCGUGCGCGGCGCUGGCGACGAAGCCCCGGGAGCAGGGCGAGCUGUGGGCGAAGCGGGUGCCCCGGGCGCGGUCGACCGGCGGCGGCGACUUCGAGCGGCGGAUGAUGGCGCACAUCUACAGCGCGCUCGUCACGCCGGAGCUGCCCGGCGCCGCGCACGGCACGGCCUAA
rnacentral:rRNA from 1 species